rnacentral:rRNA from 1 species
UGCGCAGGCGGUUGUGCAAGACAGAUGUGAAAUCCCCGGGCUUAACCUGGGAAUUGCAUUUGUGACUGCACGGCUAGAGUGUGUCAGAGGGGGGUAAAAUUCCACGUGUAGCAGUGAAAUGCGUAGAUAUGUGGAGGAAUACCGAUGGCGAAGGCAGCCCCCUGGGAUAACACUGACGCUCAUGCACGAAAGCGUGGGGAGCAAACA